rnacentral:lncRNA from 1 species
GUCACCCCUCUGUCCAAACAGGAAUGUUUACCAAAACCAACCACCCCUUCCAUUUGUCCUUCUAACCUGCCUACAUUUUGGCUUUUUAUGCAGACAAAGUGGAAGAAAGAAAAGUUUUUGCCCCUGUCAAUUUUCAAAAUGCAGAGGUAAGUUGUGCAUCAUAAAUGAGCUCUUGUGUUACAGGAUAUGAUAAGCUCCAGUUUUGGUGGGUGGCAAUUAUGACAUCUAAUGCUAAAUUCUAAAAGGGAGAAAGUCAAUGUUAUUUUAAUUAAUUGUAUUUCCUUUCACAUUAUCUUAUUAAAC